rnacentral:rRNA from 1 species
CCUACGGGUGGCAGCAGUAGGGAAUUUUGCUCAAUGGGCGAAAGCCUGACGCAGCAACGCCGCGUGAACGAGACGCCCUUUGGGGUGUAAAGUUCUGUUAGUGGGGACGAAAAAUGACGGUACCUACAGAGGAAGCACCGGCUAACUCCGUGCCAGCAGCCGCGGUAAUACGGAGGAUGCGAGCGUUAUCCGGAUUUAUUGGGUGUAAAGGGUGCGUAGGCGGGAAUGUAAGUCAGCCGUUAAAUUUCGGGGCCCAACCCCGUCCGUGCCGUUGAAACUGGCGUUCUUGAGUAGCGGAGAGGUAGGCGGAAUGCGUGGUGUAGCGGUGAAAUGCAUAGAUAUCACGAAGAACUCCGAUUGCGAAGGCAGCAUACCAG